rnacentral:rRNA from 1 species
CGACUUAUAUUCAGUAGCAAGGUUAACCGUAUAGGGGAGCCGUAGAGAAAUCGAGUCUUAAUAGGGCGUUUAGUUGCUGGGUAUAGACCCGAAACCAGGCGAUCUAUCCAUGAGCAGGUUGAAGGUUGGGUAACACUAACUGGAGGACCGAACCCACUGUCGUUGAAAAGCCAGGGGAUGACUUGUGGAUAGGGGUGAAAGGCUAAUCAAGCCUGGUGAUAGCUGGUUCUCCCCGAAAGCUAUUUAGGUAGCGCCUCGGACGAAUACCAUAGGGGGUAGAGCACUGUUUCGGCUAGGGGGUCAUCCCGACUUACCAAACCGAUGCAAACUCCGAAUACCUAUGAGUACUAUCCGGGAGACAGACUGCGGGUGCUAACGUCCGUAGUCAAGAGGAAAACAAUCCAGACCGCCAGCUAAGGCCCCAAAAUCAUAGUUAAGUGGGAAACGAUGUGGGAAGGCAUAGACAGCUAGGAGGUUGGCUUAGAAGCAGCCACCCUUUAAAGAAAGCGUAAUAGCUCACUAGUCGAGUCGGCCUGCGCGGAAGAUGUAACGGGGCUAAAACUAUGUGCCGAAGCUGCGGAUUUGACAUUAGUCAAGUGGUAGGGGAGCGUUCUGUAAGCCGAUGAAGGUGUAUUGAGAAGUAUGCUGGAGGUAUCAGAAGUGCGAAUGCUGACGUGAGUAACGACAAAACGGGUGAAAAACCCGUUCGCCGAAAGACCAAGGGUUCCAGUCCAACGUUAAUCGGGGCUGGGUGAGUCGACCCCUAAGGCGAGGCCGAAAGGCGUAGUCGAUGGGAAAAUGGUUAAUAUUCCAUUACUUCUGUGUAAUGCGAUGAGAGGACGGAGAAGGCUAAAUCAGCCUGGCGUUGGUUGUCCAGGUGAAAGGAUGUAGGCAUGUAUCUUAGGCAAAUCCGGGGUACUCUAUGCUGAGAUCUGAUAGCAAGCUGUACUUGUACAGCGAAGUGGUUGAUGCCAUGCUUCCAGGAAAAGUCUCUAAGCUUCAGUUACACAGGAAUCGUACCCGAAACCGACACAGGUGGUCAGGUCGAGUAGACCAAGGCGCUUGAGAGAACUCUGCUGAAGGAACUAGGCAAAAUGGUACCGUAACUUCGGGAGAAGGUACGCUGUUGUUGGUGAUGGAACUCGCUUCCUGAGCUGACGACAGCCGCAGAAACCAGGCCGCUGCAACUGUUUAUUAAAAACAUAGCACUCUGCAAACACGAAAGUGGACGUAUAGGGUGUGAUGCCUGCCCGGUGCUGGAAGGUUAAUUGAUGGGGUUAGCGUAAGCGAAGCUCUUGAUCGAAGCCCCAGUAAACGGCGGCCGUAACUAUAACGGUCCUAAGGUAGCGAAAUUCCUUGUCGGGUAAGUUCCGACCUGCACGAAUGGCAUAAUGAUGGCGGCGCUGUCUCCAGCAGAGGCUCAGUGAAAUCGAAAUCGCUGUGAAGAUGCAGUGUACCCGCGGCUAGACGGAAAGACCCCGUGAACCUUUACUGCAGCUUGACACUGAACUUUGACCUUACUUGUGUAGGAUAGGUGGGAGGCUUUGAAGCUGGAACGCUAGUUCCAGUGGAGCCGUCCUUGAAAUACCACCCUGGUAAUGUUGAGGUUCUAACUCUGUCCCGUGAUCCGGGACGAGGACCGUGUCUGGUGGGUAGUUUGACUGGGGCGGUCUCCUCCUAAAGAGUAACGGAGGAGUACGAAGGUGCGCUCAGCGUGGUCGGAAAUCACGCGUAGAGUAUAAAGGCAAAAGCGCGCUUAACUGCGAGACCCACAAGUCGAGCAGGUACGAAAGUAGGUCUUAGUGAUCCGGUGGUUCUGUAUGGAAGGGCCAUCGCUCAACGGAUAAAAGGUACUCUGGGGAUAACAGGCUGAUACCGCCCAAGAGUUCAUAUCGACGGCGGUGUUUGGCACCUCGAUGUCGGCUCAUCUCAUCCUGGGGCUGAAGCAGGUCCCAAGGGUAUGGCUGUUCGCCAUUUAAAGAGGUACGCGAGCUGGGUUUAGAACGUCGUGAGACAGUUCGGUCCCUAUCUACCGUGGGCGCUGGAAAUUUGAGAGGAUCUGCUCCUAGUACGAGAGGACCAGAGUGGACGAACCUCUGGUGUACCGGUUGUGACGCCAGUCGCAUCGCCGGGUAGCUAUGUUCGGAAGGGAUAACCGCUGAAAGCAUCUAAGCGGGAAGCCUACCUCAAGAUAAGAUUUCCCUAGGACUUUAUGUCCUCUAAAGAGCCGUUCGAGACUAGGACGUUGAUAGGUUGGAUGUGGAAGCAUAGUGAUAUGUGAAGCUGACCAAUACUAAUUGCUCGUGAGGCUUGACUAUACAACACCCAAGCAGUUG